GGAUAUCUGGUGAACACUUGUUGCUCCUAGAGAUGAACACCGCACAGUUUAGCUGAGGAUAAAGAAGCUUAAGCCUUUCAUUCUAUAUUAGAGAUAGUGGAGAUGAUUUCCUCAAUGGCUGCUGGUCAGCUCCCCUAGGCCUGUACCACAGGAGGUGCUGUCUGAGCACUGUGGCCAGUGUUUUUGUUGAGCGCUUGAAGAGGUCCCUGAGAAUAACCUUAUCAAAAAGGAGCUAAGUAGAAAGAGGUCCCACUCAGCAUAUGGAGUCUACAUCGUUUACACUGGGUAGUGGAAGUUAGAACCAUAGGACCAACUGCUCAGCAUCAACCCUUUCUUCUGGGAACUACCUCUGCUCGCAUGUGCUCUAGCCACCCUGGAGGGAGUUGGCAUAUUCUUACACAUCACCCCACAGCUUGACCUUCAGUUGAACAAGGUGAGUCAAAGAUGGGCAGCUGCAAAAUGAGGUCAAUGUAUCCUCUCCUGGGAUUUCUGGUCUUGGAAUUAAUAGAGUUUGUCUCUCUCCAUCAACUGAACCUGCAAUAUAUAAAACCAGCAGUAAUGUUUGCCAUGCUGUAGAAAAAAGGUAUUUUAUAGGCAGGGAAUAAGGGAUCCAGCACACGGGGUAGAAAUGGGAGACACACUCAGAACAACCAAUCAGCAAGUGACAGUUGUUCUAAGGCUCAGCUGCACACGUCACUUUAGCAGACACUAUUGGUUUCCACUCGGAUCCUUUUGUAACCAAUUCUGUCGGCUCAGCUCCCAACUUCUUGUGCUUU